rnacentral:lncRNA from 10 species
CUGACAUGUGGGGCUUGGGACUAGUUGCUCACUGCUCCCCAUCCUCCCUGUUCCACCUUGGAGCUUGGCCCUAACACAGGGGUUGGCAGUGGGACGGAACUGGCUGGCUCUGUCAUCUGGACUCCAUAGCAUCAUUUCACUUCCGGCCGCAUCACCCUCCUUGUGGAAUAUGGCCUUGAGGUUGCACGUUGGUAAUCCCUCCUGCUUAAUGACAGUGUGCCAUGGGUAAAGCUCAUUUCUCCUUUCCUGCAGCAAUAACACAACAAUUACUGCAAUGAUGUCACCACUAUCUCUUAUAGCCAUCAUUUCAUAAAGUUAAGAGAACUGGAGACACAAAAAAGCUAAGUGAAUUAUGCAAAGCCACCCAGCUAGAAGUGACUUUCUUCAGAGGAAGUUCUUGGAAUUCCUGUGCCACCAUAAGAGUUACUCACCUGCUGGAUUUUUAUGAGAAGAUGUGACUUGGUCCUUGCCUUCCGCCAUGAAUGUGACGCCUCCCAGCCCUGUGGAACUGGUGAGCCUGCUUCUAACAACUCCCUCAAAAGGCUCUGUAACCCGUCCAAAAGAUGAUGUCAAGUGCUACAAGGACCCAGUUUUGAAAAGACAACAAAGAGGGAACGGUUUUGCAUGGAUGGUCACGGAGAGGGGGAUUAAAAGCACAGAGGUGCGGAGCAUACGUGCUGCUGAGCUUCUCUCUGUGCAAGGUGGAGAUUAGACUCACGGAAACUCUUGCUGCUGUAAACCCGAGGGGACGCGGUUCCUGACUCCUCCACCAGCUGCUGCCCAGCCGGCUCCAGCACAGGCUGCCCAGGCCAUGCUUCCUGGCCGAGGGCCCUCCACGUGGGCGUCAGCCUAGUCCGGGAGAGCUGGCGGCUCCACGAUGGUAAUGUCUAACCCUGCAUCCUUCCUCGGGCGCCACCUGUUUCUUUCUCUGUGACUCUUUUUUGAUUGGGAAGAAAGAUGUUUUGUCAAUGAUUCCUGACUCCAGAGAAUUUUAGGAGGGUCUUCUUUCUUUCCCUCUUCAUCCUGAAAGGGGACUUUGCUUGAAAUUUCCUCAGUAGAAAGAAGUCAGAAAAAUAAUACCUUCACAGUAUAGAACUUUAUCUACUUCAAAGCCCUUUCCCAUACUUUAUCUCCUUCAAUACUACCCUAUGAGGUGGUAGGGCAGGUGUUCUUAAGCCCCAUUUUGCAGAUGAUGACCCUGAGGCUCAGAGAGGUUAAAUGUGUUGCCCAAGCUCACACAGCUGGUAAGUGAAGUCCAGGGUAAGAACUCUGACUCCUGGCCUUGAACUUUUUCAGAUUUUAUCACAAUGAGCAUGUGCUGCUUUCUACAAAGAGAUUUGGAAUAAUAUAGAUGACAAGAUGUAUUUUUCACUUCUUAUUUACUCGUGUGUAUUGCUACUACUGCCUUAUUUUCACAUUCCAAAGUAACUUAUUUAUUAUUCAUCUUCUUGAGAAGUGGGUAAUUAUGUUUUUAUAUGUUUUCUUUUAGAUAACUAUAGCCCUGUUGUGGGUUAUAUGCUACUUAUGUGUCCUUGGGAUCUUUCGAUAGAUAGAUGAUAGAUAGAUAGAUAGAUAGAUAGAUAAACAGAUAGAUGACAAAGAUAUGCAGACAUGUACUUUUUGAUAUUGACAGUAAUGUAUUCAUUUGUAUUUGUUUCCCAAAGAAAUAGUUUUACUUGAUGGUAUUUUGUGUUUUUCUCUAACUCUCAUUCAAAACUUAUGCAAAUUGUUAAUGCCCAAAGAUUUUUGAAGAAAAGAAUUUAGGAGAAAACCUUAACCACGUUACACCCAAUAUCUUCCAAUGAUUUUAAAGUUUCACUAGAGGGCACUCCCACUUCAUGGCCAGAAAGCAGUCAGGACAAAGGACCAUAGUGGUUUGGAUAUUUAACUUGCUGUACAUACUAUUUUGUUUUCUCUUUCUCACUCUCUCUCCUCUUGCCUAUUGUAUAAAAACUAACGGAAAUUAUACAGGUCUUCCUUUAAACAUAUAAAUAGAAAUGAACUACAUUGAAAAACUAGCAAACAUCUACAACUGUGAAUUAUGGUUCACCUUGUGACAUAGAGCAUAUUAUUCAAAAUCUUCUGCAUUGAAGUUUUGGUUGUCAACAUAAAUAAAAGUAUGAAAUAUAGUGUGAGACAUUAGCGUACUACAUUAAGUAAUAUGUCCUUUAUUGAGCAACCUGGGGAAGAAAGCCAAUAACUACCCAGCACUUAUUUCCAGCUUGUAGGAUCAUCAUGGUCAUCUUUUCUGGUAAAUCUUUGGGUAAAUCCAAAUCACAAAGAUGUGUAGGGUCAGAAAAUGAGAAUUAAAGGAAAAUCCAAAUGGAUAAUCAAAUAAUAUUGCUUUAGAAUAAAUUAAACGUUAGGCCCCACUUUUUAAUGUAUAUAUUUUUAUGUAUUAAAGAAUCUGAAGAUUAUUUUAAAUACAUAUUUUAGCAAAACAGUAGAGCAUUUCUUGUGAGAGGAAAAUAAGGUAUUUCAAAGUUAGAAGGGAAGUAGCCAUUUGCCAAGUAUAGAACCCCACAGAGUCCUUAGGCUUGAAGUUUCAAACUGAUUUCAACCCUUUGGGGGUUUGAAUUUCUCUACUGUUGGCAAAACACAACUUCUUGCUUCAAAGAGAAAUGGCAUUAAGAAGGCCUGUUACAGAGAGACUCAAAAGACUUGUUGGACACCAAAUCACUCUUACAAAACACCAUUUUGAUGAGUUUAGUAAAAAUGAAUCACAAACAUAUGGAUUAAGUUUUUCUUUAAAAUUAUAUUGGCUUAUAAAACAAGGGAAAGGGGGCAUGGUAAAAAAAAAAAAAAAAGUUUCAAGCUUUGCAAAACUCCAAAACAUUUGAAAAACGGAUUAAGAUGCUGAUGGACCCAGGGAAGCAACUGGAUUUUCCCUGUGCUAACUUGAACCAUCUUUAUUUGAUUUAAAUUCAUAUCAAAGGCAAAAUAAACAAUAUGACUGUCUGCCAUUAUUAUCCACAAAGGGAAACACACAUUUGCUUCUUAACCAUCCACUUACAUGCUUCGGUGAAAUCGUAGGCGUAUGUGUUUAUUUCACAAUGAUGUAAAACUUAAUUACUCAUAUGACCUAAAAGGUUUCAUAUUAUAUGAAUAGAAUGCAGUGCCUCUAAUGUAGCCUAAGCUGAGGACUCCUUGGGAAACUUAUCCCAAAUAAUUAAUUACUGGAGUUAAAUUCUUUUCUGACAACUCUAGAAGUAAAGUACACCUGAUGUGAAAGACCUACAAUGGCCAUCAUGUGGGGAAAAUUCUCACUCCAAUGGGUGACACCAAAACAACUUUACUACCAAUCACCAAACCAACUAAGAGUGAAUAGGCUUAAAUAAAUCAUGUUUUAAAGGCAUCUAAGGUGAACAACAAAGCAAUCCUAGGCAAUCAGGAAUUGAUGACAGAAAUCACUAAAAAUUGGCAGAUCCUACUGAGUUUUCUCCCCCUAAUCCAAGUAAUCAGAACUGAAGUACAAUGAAAAAGAAAAAAAAAAAAAGAAAUUUGAGAUGCAACUAAUGGAUUUUAUAAGUCAUGAAAUACAAAGUUUCUCCUUUCCGCCAAUGAAUCAAGGGAUAUUAUAUGAUAUUAUAUGAAGUUGCCUUUAUCAUAUAUAUAUAUAUAUACACACACACACAUACAUAUAUACACACAUAUAUAUACACACAUAUAUAUGUGUAUAUAUACACACACAUAUAUAUAUACACACAUAUAUAUAUACACACAUGUACAUUUAAAUAUUUUAACUUUACUCUUAUAAAUGUUAAAUAAUCAUUUGUAGCAAGAGUAGACAAAUUUCAGAAGUUCUAUCUUUAGAUAUAUUUCUAACAAAUGUUACCCUUUUAUAUAACCAAAUAAAAAUGUUUUCCCCAGGAAGUGUGGUGAUGAACAGUUGGUCUAUAAUCAAAAGGUUCUUUCUAUGAAGCAUGUUCAGCUUUCCUUUUAAACAUGAACAUGGAAAAUAAUACCAACUCUACCAAGCGUUGGAUUUAGCCCAUUAUCAUGUGCAAAUGUACCUGCCUAUUAACUUACAGAUUGGGCAGGUAUUUUACUAAGGUGCAGUAUUUCUGUCCUGGGUCAUAGCUUGAGUUAUUCUCCCUUUCAAGGUCCCCAAUGCUUCAUCUGUCACUCUUAUUGUCAAAUGUUCUAUUUUUCCUGUCCCUGCCAGCAGUGAUUUCAAUUUGGGCUUGACUUCAAGACAGGCCACAUUGUAUCUGUGAUGUCAAUGGAAAGGGGAUAAAAGUCAUUAAAGAUAUUUGUUAUUUUGAAAGGUUAAAAGAGUUUUUCUUGGUGGGUAACACUUUCUCUGGAAAGAACCUCAACUAAUUGUCUGACCAGGGAAUGCGCACCUAAGUGAGAAAAAAAUAUACUUAAUAAAGCAUUGGCGUCUAUUAUUUUUCCCCUUUUAUUGUCCAGUGCCUCUGGGCCUGGUGGGCUUUCUGGAGGCAUCUGAGCUCAAUAUUCCUUCAAACAGCAGAGCAAUGAUUACACUGCUGGGCUGAUUCUCUUUCUGUCUGCCCUAGGUAAGGGAUUCUUGCUUCAAACACCAUUUAUUGUAGAAACUGUUGCUAGGGUUCUAGAAAUUGUGUGUAUCCUUAAAAGAGUACCAAAAAGACAGAAUUGGAGGUUCACAUAAAAUACCAUUUUGUUGUACUUAGUACCCACCUCACCUAACAUUCACUGCUCCAUAGCAAUAGAGCAAGAAAUUAAGAAUAGAAUGCUUUCUAAAGGGCCAAUGGUACCCACAUAAUUUGAGUUCUUCUAAGAAAGGUAGUGAUGGUAAAAAGCAUAUGAACUCAAGAACAAUAAACCAAACCCACACCAGCACACAACAUCCAUCUGUGUAAUGCUUUGAAAAUUAGAAAGAACCAACUUGUGUCAUUUACUUUUGUCAGAUUGUAGGGGAGAAAGCACACACAAAAAAUAGCAUACUUUUAGUUACAUUAGAUUUGGGGUUUAAUUUAAAAGACCCUCACGGAUUAUGAAUGAUCAAAAUGGAAUAAACUCAUCCUUCAGUGGGAAAGUUAAGAUUUUUCUCUUGAUAUCAUUCACAUGUGGAUGGCAAUGAUUCUUUGACAGUCACUAUUUUCUAAAAUGUAGUUACCCGAACACAUCUGAAUAACACAAAAGAGAAAGGAACAUUUUGAUGUGUUGAGGAAAGUUGUUUUGACAAAUGUCAGCGCCUGGGUCUUGCUGGCUGAGGCCUGUUGUUGACUCUGCAAGGCUGCCUGAGUACUAUAGCUUAUGCCACUCUGUCAGGGGGAAUUGGACAUGCCCAACACAAUUCAUUUCCAUUUCUCUACAACAUUACAAGCUUCCUUGGCAGCAAAAUCACAUAUUCUUAUCACAAAAAUAAAUGAGAGAAAAGAAGACAUACAUUUCUGUCAAGUUAUGUCAAGACAUAUUUGGUAUGUAUUUCACUUCACUAUCACUGACAGCAAAGAUGUCACGUAUUCUUAAUACAAAGUAAAGAAGUAUUUUCCUUUUUUUCCCCUGCAAGGCAUCAAUUUCAUUUUAUUCACUUAUAAGCACUGGUGACAGGAAGGUGUCUUUUUAAAACAAAGCUUCAAAAAAGGCAAAAAAGGGAAUAGUUUUUGUGUUUUGCUGGAUUUCUGAAUGGACAUAUUGUACAUGCAUUUAAUUUGACAGUAUCAUAACAACCACGAUAAUAGUCAUCUAUCACCACUUUAUUAUACAUUUUCACAACACACAUUCAUUGCUCUGAUUUACUCCUUUCCGUGCAUGUAAUAGGAUGGUUUAAAACAAGUCAUAGUGAUAUUGAUUUUCCUUUAAAGAUGCCAGUGGAUGAAAAAAGAAAGGAAGGACAGAAGGAAAGAAAGAUGAAG